AUUGAACGCUGGCGGCAUGCCUUACACAUGCAAGUCGAACGGCAGCGGACCUUCGGGUGCCGGCGAGUGGCGAACGGGUGAGUAAUAUAUCGGAACGUACCUUUCAGUGGGGGAUAACGUAGCGAAAGUUACGCUAAUACCGCAUAUUCUGUGAGCAGGAAAGCAGGGGAUCGCAAGACCUUGCGCUGAUUGAGCGGCCGAUAUCAGAUUAGCUAGUUGGUGAGGUAAAGGCUCACCAAGGCGACGAUCUGUAGCGGGUCUGAGAGGAUGAUCCGCCACACUGGAACUGAGACACGGUCCAGACUCCUACGGGAGGCAGCAGUGGGGAAUUUUGGACAAUGGGCGCAAGCCUGAUCCAGCCAUGCCGCGUGAGUGAAGAAGGCCUCGGUUGUAAGACUCUUUCGGUCCGGAAGGAAUACGACACAGUUAAGUACCUACGUGUGGAUGACGGUACCGGAACGUAAGAAGAC
rnacentral:rRNA from 1 species